UACGUAGGGGGCGAGCGUUGUCCGGAGUUACUGGGCGUAAAGGGCAUGCAGGCGGUCGGACGCGUUUCGGGUGACAGCGGGUGGCUUAACUACCCGAGUGGUCGAAAGACGGUUUGACUUGAGGACGCGAGAGGGACACGGAAUUCCGGGUGGAGUGGUGAAAUGCGUAGAGAUCCGUGAGGAACACCGAGGCGAAGGCGAU
rnacentral:rRNA from 1 species